rnacentral:rRNA from 1 species
GACGAACGCUGGCGGCGUGCCUAAUACAUGCAAGUCGAGCGAAGUUUUUCUGGUGCUUGCACUAGAAAGACUUAGCGGCGCCCGUGUGAGUCACACGUAAAGAACCUGCCUCAUAGACUGGGACCACUAUUGGAAACGAUAUCUAAUACCGGAUAACAGCAUUACCUGCAGGGUUGUUGUUUAAAAGUUUGUUUUGCUAACACUAUGAGAUGGCUUUGCGGUGCAUUAGCUAGUUGGUGGGGUAAAGGCCUACCAAGGCGACGAUGCAUAGCCGACCUGAGAGGGUGAUCGGCCACACUGGAACUGAGACACGGCCCAGACUCCUACGGGAGGCAGCAGUAGGGAAUCUUCCGCAAUGGGCGAAAGCCUGACGGAGCAACGCCGCGUGAGUGAAGAAGGAUUUCGGUUCGUAAAGCUCUGUUGUUAGGGAAGAAUGAAUGUGUAGUAACUAUACACAGUAGAGACGGUACCUAACCAGAAAGCCACGGCUAACUACGUG